GAUGAACGCUGGCGGUGUGCCUAAUACAUGCAAGUCGUACGCAUUCUCGUUUCUGAUUGACGGUGCUUGCACCUAAUUGACGAGACAUUGGAAUGAGUGGCGGACGGGUGAGUAACACGUGGGUAACCUGCCCAGAAGUGGGGGAUAACAUUGGGAAACAGAUGCUAAUACCGCAUAAAAGUCAAAACCACAUGGUUUUGAUUUAAAAGAUGGCCUUUGUGCUAUCACUUCUGGAUGGACCCGCGGCGUAUUAGCUAGUUGGUAAGGUAACGGCUUACCAAGGCAAUGAUACGUAGCCGAACUGAGAGGUUGAUCGGCCACAAUGGGACUGAGACACGGCCCAUACUCUACGGGAGGCAGCAGUAGGGAAUCUUCCACAAUGGGCGCAAGCCUGAUGGAGCAACACCGCGUGAGUGAAGAAGGGUUUCGGCUCGUAAAACUCUGUUGUUAAAGAAGAACGUAUCUAAGAGUAACUGCUUAGGUAGUGACGGUAUUUAACCAGAAAGCCACGGCUAACUACGUGCCAGCCGCCGCAGUAA
rnacentral:rRNA from 1 species